rnacentral:rRNA from 1 species
UACGUAGGGUGCGAGCGUUACUCGGAAUUACUGGGCGUAAAGCGUGCGCAGGCGGUUUUGUAAGCCAGAUGUGAAAUCCCCGGGCUUAACCUGGGAAUGGCAUUUGGGACUGCAAGGCUUGAGUGCGGCAGAGGAGACUGGAAUUCCCGGUGUAGCAGUGAAAUGCGUAGAUAUCGGGAGGAACAUCAGUGGCGAAGGCGGCCUUCUGGUCCAGUACUGACACUCAAGUGCGAAAGCGUGGGGAGCAAACAGG